rnacentral:piRNA from 1 species
UUAACAGGAUUAACAGGAUUC